CGGGUGAGUAAUGUAUGGGGAUCUGCCUGAUGGCGGGGGAUAACUACUGGAAACGGUAGCUAAUACCGCAUAAUGUCUGCGGACCAAAGCGGGGGACCUCCGGGCCUCGCGCCAUCAGAUGAACCCAUAUGGGAUUAGCUAGUAGGUAAGGUAACGGCUUACCUAGGCGACGAUCCCCAGCUGGUCUGAGAGGAUGAUCAGCCACACUGGGACUGAGACACGGCCCAG
rnacentral:rRNA from 1 species